UCCACUGUGCUUCUGAUGACCCGGCCGCCGCCGCCGCCCUGCAACCGCUCCCCGGGACCCCUCAACGCUGACACUGAUGACCCGCGGCGGGGGCGCUGGGCGCGGGGUGCGCAGGCCACUGGCCGCGGGCUCUCGGGCCCGCUCCUGCCGCCGGCUUCUGCUGCUUCCGCGUGCCGUGGACACUGCCAGAAUUUGUCAAAGGUCCUAGGAAGAAAAGGCUCUUUCACCCCUCCCCUCAAUGAACAGAUGGCGUGUUUGGACUGUUCGCAUUCGCUCCUCAUAGGGACAAAUGAAUCUCUUCCCACGCCAUGGGAUUUCCCUUGAUUUUUAUAUUGGGAGUGAAAAGAUGAAGCAUGAGACUCUUCAGCUGCAUCUCGAACUGCAUCUAAUCCCAGCACAUCUCUCUCAAUCUUUGAUUAAGUCUGUUCAUCUAAAAGAGAGACACAGGGGAAAAAUGGAAAUGGGACUUUGGAAGAAUGACCAUCCACAUUCCCAUCACAGCCUGAGAUUUCCUACCUGAUUGAGAUUUUCAGUAGAUGGCCCUAGGUCUAGUUUCCCACUUUGGACCUGCUGCCCUUGGCUCCAAUAGAGGACUUCCAAGUAACUAGGAAGAUUUCACCUCUCUUUUGAAACAUAAUGGACAAAUGUGUUUCUUUAGGAUGAGAGGUGCACCUGGCUAGUCAAUCUUUAUUUUCCUAAAAUAAACAGGAUGAAAACUCAAAACAAAAAGAAAUACCUCAUGGGCAAAAGCUCUCCCAAUACAACUAAUACAGACACUCAACAUGGCUUUGUAGAAACUGACCCCUCUCCCAAGUCUUAUGUUUGUCAGAAUUGCAUGCCUAUUUCAAUCGAAGAAAAGUGAUCUGAUCUCUUCAGAUGAAGGUGGGACUUGGAGAUGCUGCUGCCUAGAGUUAACUUGCCAGAGAAAGGAUAAGCAUUCGGGAAGUGCCAGGAUGGGGUAUCAGCUGAACAAUGGCAGGAUCCCUUCUGCCAGUGGGCUGGCUCAGGGAGUAAACCUCCCCGGAAGGAAUUUUGUUUCUCUCUAGAAUCAAAGUGGGCAAAAUGAUCACCUUAUUCGCCUGGAGUGAACCAGGUUGAAACUGAGAAGGCAGACAUGGGUGAUAAGCCAGAUGAAGUCAUAUGUUAUAACUAAGCUAUGUACCUGUAACUUGCCUGGUAGUUUUUUCAUUCUCUCUAAACAGGUCAUAAUAAGUGUUAGUCUGUGAUCCACUAUGGAGAGAGAUUUCUGGAAAGAAUAGAGGCAGUGGUAGAGGGUCCAAGGUUGUUAUUUAAGGAGAUGAAUGUGGGUCAGGUGCCGUGGCUCACACCUGUAAUCCCAGCAUUUUGGGAGGCAGAGGCAGGAGGAUUGCUUAAGGCCAGAGUUCAAGACCAAACUGGCCAAUAUAGUGAGAUCCCCCCCCCAUCUCUACAAAAGAUAGAAAAACUUAGCCAGGCAUGGUGGCAGGUGCUAUAGUCCCUGCCACCAUGGGACUACAGCUCCUGCAGUCCCAGCUACUCAGGAGUUGAGGCGGAAGGAUUGCUUGAGCCCAGAAGUUCGAGGUUGCAGUGAGCCAUGAUCAUGCCACUGCACUCCUCCGUGGGUGACAGAGCGAGACCUGACUCAAUAAUAAUAAUAUUAAUAAUAAUGAUAAUGCAACACAAACUAUCUUUUACCUCUUGAACAAUGAAUGCAGAUGCCAUGACUACAUCUGUUUGUUGGGGACCAGGGAGGCUGCCAGUGAGGAUUCAGGGUGGAAGUAGUGUGUACCCAAUACCUAUUGUGAGAUGUGGCCUGGGGAGCCCUGAGAUUGCCUGGCCAGGCUCACUCACUACCCAGACACCCUCUUCCUGCAUGGCGAGUCCCUCAGCCCCUCCAAGGCUCAAUUCUCAGACAUCGGAGUAAUCCACAUCCUCCAUCUUGAGUUACUCCUCACAAGGCCUGCAAGUUUUCCUAGGAGGAAGGGAAGACAGGGUUGAACCCACACAAUUCUAGAAUCUAGAAUUUGGAGGAUUUCUAAACCAUUUCUGUAAGUCAGCCCUUGAGAACUUGUAGAUUUUCUCAUCAUUUGCAGCAUGAGAGUCUGGAGUAGACUGUUUGGAUUUGACUCUUGGUUCCUUGGGCAAGUUACUUAACCUCUCAGCUGUGUGUCAGUUUCCUUAUCUAAAAAGUGUGGUUAAUAAUAACUGACCUCUCAGAGGUAUUGUGAGGUUACUGUGAUGAUUAAAUUAGUUGAUUCAUAUAAAA
rnacentral:lncRNA from 1 species